GGAUCUGAGGGCAAUCUAGCUGUGACAUCUGUCACUCCAUAGACUGCUAGGGAAGAUCUGGCUGAUCCAGAUGACAAGUGUUCCCUUCUUCCCUCACACUUUCAUGUGCAUCUUAUUGGAAGUUUCAUGCUGAGUCAAAGAAGAGAGCCUUAUCAGAUAGAAGGGGACUGUUCUUUACUCAAUGGUAUACAAAUAUCAGCACUCCCCUGUUAGAAUCUGCAAUCAAGUUCUAAAAGAUGGAGCAAUUUGAAAGCAAAACGAAAACACAUGGAUAGU
rfam:Dipodomys ordii contig_9962, whole genome shotgun sequence.